UACGAAGGGUGCAAGCGUUACUCGGAAUUACUGGGCGUAAAGCGUGCGUAGGUGGUUUGUUAAGUCUGAUGUGAAAUCCCCGGGCUCAACCUGGGAAUGGCAUUGGAUACUGGCAGGCUAGAGUGCGGUAGAGGGUGGUGGAAUUCCCGGUGUAGCAGUGAAAUGCGUAGAGAUCGGGAGGGACAUCUGUGGCGAAGGCGGCCACCUGGACCAGCACUGACACUGAGGCACGAAAGCGUGGGGAGCAAACAGG
rnacentral:rRNA from 1 species